rnacentral:rRNA from 1 species
GAUGAACGCUGGCGGCGUGCUUAACACAUGCAAGUCGAACGGGAAUUACUUUAUUGAAACUUCGGUCGAUUUAAUUUAAUUCUAGUGGCGGACGGGUGAGUAACGCGUGGGUAACCUGCCUUGUACAGGGGGAUAACAGUCAGAAAUGGCUGCUAAUACCGCAUAAGCGCACAGGACCGCAUGGUCCGGUGUGAAAAACUCCGGUGGUAUAAGAUGGACCCGCGUUGGAUUAGCUUGUUGGCAGGGUAACGGCCUACCAAGGCGACGAUCCAUAGCCGGCCUGAGAGGGUGAACGGCCACAUUGGGACUGAGACACGGCCCAGACUCCUACGGGAGGCAGCAGUGGGGAAUAUUGCACAAUGGGGGAAACCCUGAUGCAGCGACGCCGCGUGAAGGAAGAAGUAUCUCGGUAUGUAAACUUCUAUCAGCAGGGAAGAGAUUGACGGUACCUGACUAAGAAGCCCCGGCUAACUACGUG